CCUGACACAGGUGGGUGAGUGUAAGCGCACUCAGGCGCGCGAGAGAAACCUCUCUAAGGAACUCGGCACAUUAGCCUCGUAACUUCGGGAGAAGAGGUGCUUGAAACCGUUGCAGUAAUGUAGCGGCGUAAAGCCACAGUAAAUUGCGUUUAGCGACUGUUUAACAAAAACACAGCACUCUGCCAAGUCGUGAAGACGACGUAUAGGGUGUGACACGUGACCAAUGCGGAAAGAUUAAAACAUUGGGUUAGCCGCAAGGCGAAGCUCGGUGUCCAAGUCCCCGUGAAUGUCGGCCGUAACUAUAACGGUCCUAAGGUAGCGAAAUUCCCUGUCGGGUAAGUUCCGACCUGCACGAAUCGUGUAACGACUGAACGACUGUCUCGGAGAGGAUCUCGGCGAAACUGUAACGGCGGUGAAGAUGCCGCCUGCCCGCAGUAGGACGGAAAGACCCUAUGCACCUUUACUGUAAGCUCGUAUUGGGUUCUGAUUAACGAUGCGUAGCGUAGGUGGGAGACUUUGAAGCGAGCCCUUCGGGGUUCGCGGAGUCGCAAUGUGAAGCACCACUCUUUGCUAAUUAGGAUUCUAACCCCGCGCUGUGAAGCCAGCCGGGGGACAGUGCGUGCGGGUCAGUUUGACUGGGGCGGUUUCCUCCCAAAGAGUAACGGAGGAGCGCGAAGCUUGGCUCAGUACGGUUGGCAACCGUACGUCGAGCGUAUGGGUAAAAGCCAGGUUAACUGUGAGACGUACAUGUCGAGCAGGUGCGAAAGCAGGCCCAAAUGAUCCGACGGUUUAAUGUGGAAUUGCCGUCGCUCAACGGACAAAAGGUACGCUAGGGAUGACAGGCUGAUCGGAUCCAAGAGUUCAUAUCGACGAUCCGGUUUGGCACCUCGAUGUCGGCUCAUCGCAUCCUGGGGCUGGAGAAGGUCCCAAGGGUCCGGCUGUUCGCCGGUUAAAGCGGUACGCGAGCUGGGUUCAGAACGUCGUGAGACAGUUCGGUCCUUAUCCACUGUGGGCGCAGGAAACUUGAGGGGUUCUAACCUUAGUACGAGAGGACCGGGUUAGACGCACUUCUGGUGUGGCAGUUGUUCCGUCAGGGGCAUCGCUGCGUAGCCAUGUGCGGAAGAGAUAAGCGCUGAAAGCAUCUAAGUGCCAAGCUCCUCCCAAGAUAUUGUUUCCCGGACGCAAGUCCCUAAAGACCACGGGUAGACCACCCGUUUGAUAGGCUGGGCGUGUAAUCAUUGUGAAAUGUUCAGCGGACCAGUACUAAUCGGUCGUGAGGCUUGAUCC
rnacentral:rRNA from 1 species